GGGGGUAUAGCUCAGCUGGGAGAGCGCUUGAAUGGCAUUCAAGAGGCCAGCGGUUCGAUCCCGCUUAUCUCCACCA
rnacentral:tRNA from 14 species